GCCGGGCAGUAGUGGCAUGUGCCUGUAAUCCCAACUACUCAGGAGGCUGAGGCAGGAGACUCGCUUGAGCCUGGGAGGCUGGAGUUGCAGUGAGCUGAGAUUGUGCCACUGCACUCCAGUCUAGGUGACAGAGUGAGACCCUGUCUCAA
rnacentral:SRP_RNA from 1 species